rnacentral:lncRNA from 1 species
UUUUUUUUUUUUUGUCAAACAUUGGUGCUUAAAAGAAUAUUAUGGUCAACUAGCUUUAGUUAAUAUCAACACAAAUGACAGAUACAUGACAGAUAAUUCAACUCCAGGAAAGAUUUUUAGUUAUUUUGUGACUGCAUUUGAAGACCAGAUAAAACCCUAGCUUUACAAUAUUAACAUUCUAUGGAAAGAAAAAGGUAUAUACAAGAUCUAGUAUACAUGAUUCUAUGAUAUAAUCACUGAAAAUCAAGAUGUAGUAUUUAAAUCUUUGUUGAUACUUUAUGCUGCUAGUCAUCAACAAAUUAAAAAAAAAAAAACACAUGUAGGAGAUAUUAGACAAUGAACCCAUUCAUUGCUUUAAAAUUUUGCCUCUCACAAUUACAAGAAUACAACAAAGGGAAGGGCAUUUGUAAACUCUAAUAGGGAAUUUCAGGAAAUUUAUAGCAAUAGAAUUGGACAACAUUUCAGGGGAAAAAUGCCCUACUGACUGAAAAGAGGUCACAGGCUUUGGAAACUGGAAUGGAAAAUGGACAAUUUUGUGCAGCAGCAAAGGCAGAAGUCAGAAAACUAUGAGUAGGAAUCAAGGCAGUAGAGACAGUUGUUUGUUUCCAAAUAGUCCUUCUCCCUUAUUCCUCUGGUAUAAAACCCCCACAUUUAUCUGGAUAAGCAGCUUUCCUAGUAAGACAAUAUUUCUCAUCCUCCUUGAAGUAGUUAUGUGCAGCCAUGAGUUUAAAUGCUGGCCAAUGGAAUGUGAUGCUUGCAACUUCUGUGCUCCUCACAUCCUCUUCUCCAAUUUCUAUUUUUUUUUAGUUCUUCUUAUUAUUUUUAAUGGCUUCACUCAUAGCAUAUGCAAGUUCCCGGACAAGGAAAUGAAUCUGAGCCACAGCUGCGGCAACGCCAGAUCCUUUAACCCACCAUGUCAGUCCAGGGAUCAAAUGCUCACCUAUUCAGCGACCUGAGCCACUGCAGUCACAUUCUUAACCCACUGCACUGUGACAGGAACUCCUCCAAUUCCUUUUUUUUUUUUUUGUCUUUUUGCCUUUUCUUGGGCCGCUCCUGCAGCAUAUGGCGGUUCCAAUCUCAAUAGUAGGUCAUGUUUGAAAGUUUCUUCACUUGCAAUAUUGUAUCUUUUGUAAUAUGAUAGUUAAACCAUGGGGGCUUCAUAAUUUAGCCAUUCCUUCAGAGUUGAAAAAUUCUUUAAAAACAUAACUAGAUCUUUCUUUCGCAUGCUGUCAGAUCUUCAGGAUAGUUACUGAAACUAUGAGUCUUUCAACUCCAUUCACCUAGAGUGCACCAGCUGCUGACUAGGAAAGAGUGAGGCUGUGACUUCCCCCGAUGUAACAGAUGCUGGAAGUCUUUCCCUCAGAGCAGGAGGCAAUCCAUUGAAGCUGUUAGUGGAUGCUUAAUUGGAGACAAGAUGUUAGUAAAUGCUGCUUUGAGCUUAAGUCUCCUAGGUGAUCAGAUGAGGACCGAGGUAGACAGGAUACCAAAGCAUAACCAAUCAGAGGAGUGGGCAGUCCUGAACACAGCUUGAUCCUUUGCAUACAUGGGGUCACGCUAUUAAAAACUUCCCUGUGAAAUCCUGCAUCGCCCUGGUUAUUGCUUUAUUAUUAAAUAGCAUCACAUGUGUUAUCUUUGGGGUAGUCAUAGUUUUAAUCUUCUGUGGCAUUGAUGGCUAACUGUCCAGCAAAAGUGUGCCCUCUCUAUUUCACUUCAUGGUGUUGAUCCUGGGAGGUAGUUGCCCAAUCAGAGAUACAUUUCCUGUUUGUCUACAGAACUAGUUCCUAACAAAGGAAGAUGAACAAGAAAGACUAUGUCAUCUCCAUCCAGAAGCUUUUAAGCAUAUGAUCUGGAGACAGCAAAUUCAGAGGCCCCAAGAGAUGGUAGAAUCAAAAGGUGGAAAUAUCCUGAGUUCUCUUCAUGGAGGAAAACUGUCUUCCAUGAAUCAGGAGGAAGACCUACAUCAAGCCCUUACAGUAGUAAGAAGUAGAAAAGGUUUGGGUUUAGUAGAUGCAAACUAUUACACUUAAAAUGCACAAACAAGGUCCUAAUCUAUAGCACAGAGAACUCUACCCAGGCUGCAGCAACGCCAGAUCCUUUAACCCACUGUGCUUGGCCAGGGAUCAAACCUGUGUCCUGGUACUGCAGAAACUCCACCAAUCCUAUUGUGCCACAGCAGGAACUCCUGGCACAAUACUGUAAAUCAACUAUACUUUAAUAUUUUUUUAUUUUAAAAAAGAAGUAAAGAAGAUUUGGUCUUUAUUAAUUGGACCAGCUAGGGUAACCCUAUAACUCCAAACUCUAGGAUAAAGGAAAAGAAAAAUACAGAUACAUAGGUCCUUAAUUUCAAGCCUGGCUUGGGAAAUGUCACAUAGUUACAAUCCUAAAAUAGAUGGGAUAGUCUCAACAUUGAUAAGCUGUACGAAUUGAAAGGCAUUUCAUAACUCCACAACAUUUCAUAAAUGUUGACAGUCAUUUUUUAGUAAGAAUUUUAAAAUCAUUAGAAGGAGUUGGGAUCCCUCACUGAGAUAGAUUAUCAAAAUGAAGGAAAUAUCUAAUUUGGCAAAUGAGAAACAAAGAGAUUAAAAACAUGGUUGAGGGCAAGAGUGUAAGAGAGGAACAAAGGACAUCGAGUAUUUUCUCUAGGCCAGAAGUACUCAAACAAGUUAUUCCAUCUCAAAUUUACCCUCCUUGAUAUGGUUAUUAUCAAUCUUAUUUACUUGCUAAAAUAUCAAGUCAGAUUAAAGGCGUGAUAGCACUUGCAAACUGUAAAGUACUAAGAAAAGUGAAGCAAUAUCACUGCUAAUAAAUUAAUCAGAACAGGUCUGCAGAUAGAAGGAUAAUAAAAUUAUAUUAAUUUCAUAUAUCUUUCAGAUCAAAUUUAGAAGUUCAAAGAAAAUUGUAAUUAUACAUUAAUAUAGGCAGUAGAAGUUAGAAUUAAAAUGGGAGUGAGAGGUAAGUGGGUGAUUUAUUCAAGAAGUGAGCAAAUUAACAUUUCAAUGCAAAGCAUAUAUCUUCUUUUUAGAAAAUAAGACUAUCUGGACUAUUAGAUUUGUUUCAAUACAGGAAACAGGUCAUUUUAAGACCGAGCUAUUUAAUUGUGUACUUUUUAAAAUCUAUCCAAUUUGCUGAAAUAAUUGCAUUCCAUGUUUUAAAAUAGACCAUUUAUUACUCCAUAAAGAAAAAUUAAUAGUCAAGAUUUGUAUUCAUUUACAAGUUGAAAGAUUAUUCUAAUUGUUUUGAUCUGUUUCUGAGAAUUUCUAUAGCAACUGUCACCAUAGCUUUUAAAUUUUCAGUUAAAGCUAUUAAAAGAUGAGAAACAUUUCAGCCAGUAAAAAAUUUUUACAUUGAUCUAAAAUUAAAGAGUAUGGAAUACGAGAAGAAAGUAAAAAAAGAGAGAGAGGUAUUUUUUCACUGUUUGCUUAUGUGAACUAAUUACCUUGGGAAAAUAUUGAUAUUCCGAAAGGAUGAGAAAGAAAUAAAAUGUAUCAGAGAGGAGUUCCCUUGUGGCCUUAGCGCUAGGACUCUAUUGUCACUGCUGUGGCUCAGGCUACUGCUGUGAUACAGGUUCAAUCCCUAGCCCAGGAACUCCACAUUCCAAAGACACAGACAAAAACAAAAACAAAAAAAGGUAUCUGAGAAAUGGUUCAGUUAUAUCAGUUAUAUCUGUGCUAAGGUAAUUAGUGUAGUUUGACUUGACUUGGGGAAUGUCAAGCACCUAACUCCCAGGACUAAGGAUUCCAAGAGUUCACCUGAGGGAUCCACCAGGCCCACUUGGAAGCUUCAGUUAUUGGCCUGGACAGCAAGGCUCAUGAGGCCCCUGCCUUGAUAACUCAGCAUCUUGCUGAUUUUCCCUCUACCAUCAUCCAUGCCAUCCACACCAGGACUCUGAUGGUGGCCAUGCCUCAUAAAAAUAUUUUCAUCAAGUCUCUUAGAGUCUGGCUUGUGACUCAUCUUAGUUCCACUGUGCUUGAAGCCCAUCCUUCCCUUGGCCCAACCUAGGUGUCCCUUCUUCCACCCCAAGCCAUUUGUCUACUCGCUGGCCCCUGAAUCUCUUGGUCACCUCUGCUGUCUGCUGUGGCCACGUCACCUAUGUCCCUUUUCCGUUUUCUGUCUAAUAGUCCACCAAGGCCUUACCUACUGCUGGGGUCAUUCUUUCUGGGCUUAGACUAGGUUGUUGCCACCCCAAACCUGGUACUGUAACAUAUACAAACAUGGGAUGUGAGGCUCCAGUGUGGAAUAUCAGACAGAUUCUAACAUUGCAGGACACCAAAGUCAAGUGAACCCCCUUCUAUUCAAAAACAUGAAAUAAACCUCAAAUAACAGUAAAAUACUAAUAAUCAGCUUUAUAUUUAUAAUUUUUAAUAUUUACAAUCAGAAAAAUUAAGUUUUAAGAAUUUCUUUAAAGGAAAAUACUACUGUUAGGGCCUACAUGGGGACUCAUUGUUAAAAUGGCUCAAUCUGCUGACCUCACAAAUAAAAUAUGAGGGCGCAGUAACCCCUGAGACUGACCACCUUGCUCUAGCAACACCCUGAUUUUACCACUGGUGCUUACUUUCCCAAGACUACAAGAUCCCCCUACCAUGGGACACCGCACACUUCAGCUUUCUCAAGAUUACGAGACCACCCUACCGUGGGACACCUCUGACUUUCUCAUGACUACAUGACCAUCAGAGUCCAGCUGCAGGCAAAAGAUAAACUAACUCUUCCUCCCACCCCACCCCCACCGCUUCAGGGAAUCCAGUUUCCCACCUGCGGGGUAUAAGAAGGCCCUGCCAGAAGGGCUGGGGGCUGGCUCUUUUAAACGGUCAGUCACCCUCUUCUUUUCCCUCUAAUAAAUUUUCUUCUCUUUGCCUGAACACCCGGCUUGUUCUCUUUUUCUCUGCACUAGCCUUACAACUACUAGAAAGGGAAUGUAAAUAUUUUAAUUCACUAAGAGAAAACAAAAAAUAGAGACCCAGUGGCAAACAAAAUUGCAAGGAAGCCCGGAAAACAGAAAAUAAGAAUAAGAUAACCGAAGUAAGAAAUUAAACCUUACUUUUUUUCUUUAUAUAUUUUGUAUGCCCUUUUUUUCCUCAGAAAUUUUUCUUCUAGGAUUUUAUUCUAAAGAAACCAUGACUGAUGCAUCAAAGAUAACUACAAGGUUUGUUCACUGCAGUUUUGUUUACUAAUGCAAAAAAUGGAAAAAAUGUC